rnacentral:rRNA from 1 species
AAUCAACGCUGGCGGCGUGCCUAACACAUGCAAGUCGAACGAGAAAGAGGGGGCAACCCCUUGAGUAAAGUGGCGACCGGGUGAGUAACACGUGACUAACCUACCUUUCAGUGGGGAAUAACCUCGGGAAACCGGGGCUAAUACCGCAUAACAUCCUGUGGUUGAGAUACCGUUGGAUCAAAGGAGCAAUUCGCUGAUAGAGGGGGUCGCGGCAGAUUAGCUAGUUGGCGGGGUAAUGGCCCACCAAGGCAUUGAUCUGUAGCCGGCCUGAGAGGGCGCACGGCCACACUGGAACUGAAACACGGUCCAGACUCCUACGGGAGGCAGCAGUGGGGAAUUUUGCGCAAUGGGGGAAACCCUGACGCAGCAAUGCCGCGUGGAGGAUGAAGUCCUUUGGGAUGUAAACUCCUUUCGAUCGGGAAGAUAAUGACGGUACCGGAAGAAGAGGCCCCGGCUAACUCUGUGCCAGCCGCCGCAGUAAU